UACGGAGGGUGCGAGCGUUGUCCGGAAUCACUGGGCGUAAAGGGCGCGUAGGUGGCUCGGCAAGCGUGCGGUGAAAGUUCGAGGCUCAACCUCGAAUCGGCCGUGCGAACUGCUGGGCUGGAGCACUGUAGAGGCAGAUGGAAUUCCGGGUGUAGCGGUGGAAUGCGUAGAGAUCCGGAAGAACACCGGUGGCGAAGGCGGUCUGCUGGGCAGUUGCUGACACUGAGGCGCGACAGCGUGGGGAGCAAACAGG
rnacentral:rRNA from 1 species